rnacentral:lncRNA from 1 species
UCAUUAAAUAUGUCAUAAUUCAUUUGAGAUGAAGAUCAUGGAAUAAGAGUAGUGCACCAUAAAUUACUAUUUAUCAUAGCAUUUACUAAUUUAUGUAUCAUUUCAUACUUUUAAAUUCACACCAACAAACACAAUUUAGGAACUAUACAAACGAAUUACUCAAAUCUGAACACUUAUCAAAUGCAAUCGGGUAAUAAACAAACUAAAUACUUACAAAACACAUCAGCGAAAUUGAUUAAAGUAAGGAGUGAAGUAAUAUCAGCUUAGGAAAAGAAAUGAACCUCAACCAAAAUGUCGUCUUCACUAUUAUAAGUAAAACAACCUCCUCUAAUAGCAAAUCUGGAUCCGAGAUUUGGAAAGAAAGAAAACGGAGACAACAAAAUCAGAAUUGGAACCACGAUUUACGACACUCAAUGGCUGGCCGUACUGACUCGGACUCCCUCAGAACGACAGAAACACGGACGAAACUAAAACGGAACCCAUGAACAACGACCACUGACAACCCUAAAGCUCGCCGAAAUUUCAAAUUCGAACCCAGAAUCGAAGACUAAAUAACGAUGACCCAAGCUCUAAAAAGGCGACGAGAAUUUUUAGCUGCUUAAGAGCCGCAGCUGCUGGUUUUCUGCGAUUUGGCAGCCAUUGCUGCUGUUUCCGGUGAGUUCCGAUGGUGGAGGAACAGUAGCCGAUCUACUGCGAAGGUGAAGGAGAAGAAGCGGGCGACGAGGGGGUGUGCUGGUGUGAGAUCGGCGGCAAUUAACUACGAGAUUAGGAGUUUAGGGUUGGGGCAGUAUAUAUGUUUUGAAAGGGUGGAGUUGUCGUUUCCUUCUCUGUUGAAGAAGCAGAAGUUCGGNNN